AUUGAACGCUGGCGGCAGGCCUAACACAUGCAAGUCGAACGAGUGGCGGACGGGUGAGUAAUUUCUGGGAAACUGCCUGAUGGAGGGGGAUAACUACUGGAACCGGUAGCUAAUACCGCAUACCAUCGGAUGUGCCCAGAUGGGAGUAGCUAGUAGGUGGGGUAAAGGCACACCAAGGCGACGAUGCCUAGCUGGUCUGAGAGGAUGAGCAGCCACACUGGGACUGAGACACGGUCCAGACUCCUACGGGAGGCAGCAGUGGGGAAUAUUCGACAAUGGGCGCAAGCCUGAUGCAGCCAUGCCGCGUGUGUGAAGAAGGCCUUCGGGUUGUAAAGCACUUUCAGCGAGGAGGCGUUACUCGCAGAAGAAGCAACGGCUAACUCCGUGCCAGCCGCCGCGGUAAUUC
rnacentral:rRNA from 1 species